ensembl:lncRNA
CCUUUGAGGAAAAUCCCAGUUCUUCUUUUUCCUUCUUGCCCUCUCGAUCUCACUUCUGCAUAUGCUUCACAUUAGACAAAUUUCCCACUGCCUGCCCAUGGGAAAUCUCUCUCCAGAUUUAUACAUUUAUUGAUAGAGCGGGUCAACUGGAAAUUUAAUCUAAUAUAUAUUUAAAUGGGAAUAAUAAGAAUGAAAAUCUUUAUUUCUAUAUAUAUUUCUAUAUACAUCUAUAUAUAUCUAUAUAUCGUAUCCCAGCCAUGCUGAUUUAUUUUGAGAUUUCUUCUACUGCACAUAAAAAAGUGAGUAUUAGAUAAAAUUGAAUCAGCAUAAUAACUUAAUAUUUCUGCUCAUCUGCUGCCUAAUUCUAAUCUACAGCACACCCGCUGCAAUUAUAUAAUGGAAAUAUAGGAGAUGACUUGGAUUGCCUGGAUCUAUUUUCAUUUGCUCCCAAGAGGCUAUCUGACAAAUAUUAAUAACCAUUGACUCAGGGAAAUCUACAUAAUCUCACUGAUCCUCAGCGUCCUCCUUUGUAAAAUGGGAUUGGUAACGCCUGCCCUCUAAGGUGGUUGAGACUUGUUGCACAUGAAAUGCUUGGCACAGUGCCCUGCCUGCAACAAAUUGGAGGUGCCAUUCUCUGGACCAGUCAGAGUUUUCUGGAUGCAAUGAUGUACUUCCACUCUGGUUACUUCAAGCAAAGGAGAAAUGAGUUGAACUGAAGCAGGUGACUGAGAGGACAAGAACCGGAGACCACAGGGGCCCUGGGAGGAUAUGUGAUGACACUUUGCGUAUGUGACUCCCGAGAAACCAAGGCAGGAGCUCCAGACUUCUCUCUAUCUGAAUGCACAAAUAGAAGGAGCAGGUUUGAUGAACAGCCGGAAUGCACAUGACACAUGCUAUGUUUUUUCUGCACUUCAGUGAAGGAAAAUCAUAAUUUAAGAAGACUGUACAAAUCCAGCAAUUAGCCAGCACAUUUUUUGUGAGUCAUGUAAGUAUUCAGCAUAUUACUGGGUGCAAAGGAGACACAACCAAAGUAUGAAACACAAUGCUGUAUCUUCCAGGACCACCAUUAUCCAGAUUUGUGGAUCACCCACCCAGCUCUGUGCCAGGCACUGGGCUAUUUCUGGAGAUGCAAAGGCAAAUAAAAUGUGGCUGCUUUUUCUGGAGAAACAUGUAUGGGAUAUAAUAUUUGGAUGUUCUGGCAGAGCUAGAUUUGACAGUAGAGCUCCUAAAAGUUCAGUUUGGAAGAAUAAAGUAAAGGGAGGUGAGAGGAAGAUGGUGAGCAAAAGAAAGCCACUAGCAACUGCCUUCUUUCUUUCUCCUCAGUGGAAUAAAUUGCACUCAAGGAGACACU